CUCAGCUCAUGCUUCCUCCUUCUAAUGCAUGGCUUGCCUUGUCCCCAUAAUUCUUAAGAGCUGCUUAAUUCAGCUGGUUCCUUUGCUUGGAGAUGCUAGAGUCUGCUAUAGCUCAUAUCUAACCUAGAAAGGGCUAGGGAGUCACUCAGCAGAGCAGUCUUUGCCUUAGGGAAAAUUUGUGUAUGUUUGUGAGCACUGUGGAGCCACAAAUGAGACAUGGCUUGGCACUGGGGAACAGAGGUUUUUAAGUGAGCAAAUGUGGGAUUGAGAUGGGAAAGGAAGCUGCAGCACAGGGCACUUCUGUAGCCUCUGAGUCAGCAUCAUCUCCUCUGUCAUUUCUCAGGUGACCCACCCCACUCCUGUGGCAGAAGACACAACAGGAAGAACAAAGAGACCCAAUGAGCAAUUGAGCAGCCUGUGACCAGACAGCGUGGCCUGCAGAGGUACAGGAUUAGAAACACCUCCUUAGCCUUACAAUCUCUGCAAGACUGUUUUGCUGUUAGAGAGGAAGUGUCCUGGUCCUUCCCUAGAGGCUGCCCAGAAAACUGCCCUUCAUUGGCACAGGAACUGAAUAAGAACCCUGGCAUCCAGAAGGAAGGCUGGUAAUGUGGCUUAGUCUUGGGUGCUUUGCAAUCUUUGCUUUUGGAAAAUAGAGGCUAAAGUGAGUAUAGUUUGCAUAUCAGGUUGGGUUUUUGUUGUUGUUUUGUUUUGUUUUGUUUUUGUGGUAAGUUUCCACUGCCAAUUCCUUGUAUGACAGUUGCUCUCAACUCAGUGGUGAGGAAUAGAAAUAACUUGACCCACAGUGGCAUUUGUUGUGCAAUACUCAUCCUAAUGUUAUAGGAUUUAAGACAUUUUGUAUUUGGAAAUAGACAAGAUCAUAACAAGCUGUUAUGAUAAGCAUUUAAGCCUUUUUUUCGGUUAAAAUACCAGCAAACUUCUGGUUAAUUAGUUUUGCAUACUCAGCAAGUGAAUCCUUUGCACAGAGUUGGGAGACCAAUAUAUUGUCCUUGUUUUUAUUGAACAGAAAUACAGAAACUUAACGUUUUACUAGCUGUCAAAAUUGAAGGCAUAUUUAGACUCAAAUCCUACAAACUCCAGUUCACUGUUGGUGACCCGAGUUGACUGUCUUUGUUCUUUUCCAAAAUAAACAAGAUUGAGCCUUCAGCCACGAACAGGCUUCUGUGUUCUUUGGAAAUGCACUUCAAUUUGCCCCAACAGGAGAAGGGAGGAAUAAAAUGGAUCAGAGUAAGUACUGAUGCAUUUGUCUUCUGCAGUGUCUACUCUGAAAGCUUUCAACCAGAUCGAGAUGCUCCCACCAUCUGAAAACAGAACCUUGGCCAGCUGGCUUCCCUGAUCUUCCGUGUCCACCCCACUGAUUAUUCCUGCUCUGAGGCUAUGGGCAUUAACAAGGAUAUGGAGAGAGUGGUUUGUACAUGUUUCUUUACAUUUGGAAGCUUCUUGUGUUUCUUGUGUUUUCUCCCCAUGGCUCUUGCUUCCAGAAAAUUGGGAAGAACUUUUGGAUGUAUGUCUGGAAUUCAAAUACAACACUCAAAGCCCCCAGUUUAUCAGUGAGAUAUCUUACAUUUACAUUACUUGUAUCUCUACUUAAAACUUGGUUAGCUGAUGUAUAGUUUUCAUUCAGACAAUAGUGUUGUGUAUUAAUCUUAAGAGGCUGAUGAGUAAGUCAGGGGUGACAGUGGUUAUUUGAACUCUAAAAACAUUCUGCUCUAGUUGUUUUAAGGCUUAGAUUUGGGGAGGAUCAGAGUCUUAUUUUCCAAAAUGAAGUUGUGAUAGUUUAUAAAUAAUUAAAAAUUAAAAAGAGAGAAGAUUGAAGUUGUUUUGAGAAUGUAAAUUGACUUAAAAUUUAUAGGCAGUCCUUCUAUAUAUUUAUUUUGGUAACCAUACAUUUUGUUGCUUUUAACUUUGGUCAGAGAAGCUUCUUUUUGCAGUGGGCAGUUUGUUCAAACUCAUAAUGGGGCAAAGAGCUGAGAAGAACUGAUUAUUGAGUGCUUGGCCCUAGAUGGGUGUUCUGUAUCUACCACCAUGGUGCCCAGAAAGUGUUGCAGAAAAUGGAUCAGGGGAUAUAUAAAGUCUGAGGAUGGGGAGGAGUGUGUCAAAUUCUAUGAAAUUCCAUUGGAUUAAAAAAAUCCCAGCAGCAAGAGCUACUUCCAUAAGGUCUGUACAAGACCAAGCCAACAGAAACUUCAUUGCCUCAGCCUGCAAGAGGGUUCAAUGGAGACCUGGGAGGGGGCAAAAGAGUUGGGGUCAGAAGGAACAAAGAAGGAGAACAAGUCUAUUGUCUGACCAAGCUCUUAAACUUUAUUUCAGUACAGUGGCUUAUAAAGACAAGCAAGCAGGAAGGCCACACAGGGCCCAAGACCGAUUUCACUACUGUCACCACCCUCGCAUUGUUCUUUCAGUUCCUGUAACCCUAAACUGAAAAUUGUGGGUAUGCUGAUAAGAAUGGAUAACUGACUAGGUUUCUCAGAGGGUAUAAAUGGGCUUGGUAUUCCUGAAACACUCCUGAGACAGAGGGUGUGUAGGCAUGCUUGGUUCCCGGCCUUCCAUUAUGGACAUGGUGUGUAUUUUUACUGCAAUCUGGAACUCAGUAGCCAGAAGAAUCAGGAUUCCAAGUUAAUCUUUGGCUACAUAGGGAGAUCAAGGGCAGCAUAGGCUGUAUGAGACUCUGUCUCAAGACAGGCAAGGCAAAAGAAACUAAGAAAUAUUAGUAUACUGUAGCUGUCUCCAAACACAUCAGAUGGUUGUUAACCACCUCACUGUGGGUCCU
rnacentral:sRNA from 1 species